rnacentral:rRNA from 1 species
UACGUAGGGGGGCGAGCGUUGUCCGGAAUCAUUGGGCGUAAGGAGCGUGUAGGCGGCUUGGCAAGUCUGACGUGAAAGCCCGCGGCUCAACCGCGGAUUGUCGUUGGAAACUGCCUCGCUAGAGUCCGGAAGAGGAGAGCGGAAUUCCGUGGUGUAGCGGUGGAAUGCGCAGGAUAUCAGGAAGAACACCCGUGGCGAAGGCGGCUCUCUGGGACGGUACUGACGGCUGAGACGCGAAAGCGUGGGGAGCGAACAGGAUAGAAACC